rnacentral:rRNA from 1 species
GGAUAACCUGCCCUUGGGACCGGCAUAACCCCGGGAAACUGGGGAUAAUUCCGGAUAACGCGUAUUUGCUGGAAUGCUUUAUGCGUCAAAAGGAUUCGUCUGUCCAAGGAUGGGUCUGCGGCCUAUCAGGUAGUAGUGGGUGUAAUGUACCUACUAGCCAGCGACGGGUACGGGUUGUGAGAGCAAGAGCCCGGAGAUGGAUUCUGAGACAUGAAUCCAGGCCCUACGGGGCGCAGCAGGCGCGAAAACUUUACAAUGCGGGAAACCGUGAUAAGGGGACACCGAGUGCCAGCAUCAUAUGCUGGCUGUCCGGAUGUGUAAAAUACAUCCGUUAGCAAGGGCCGGGCAAGACCGGUGCCAGCCGCCGCGGUAACACCGGCGGCCCGAGUGGUGAUCGUGAUUAUUGGGUCUAAAGGGUCCGUAGCCGGUUUGGUCAGUCCUCCGGGAAAUCUGAUAGCUCAACUAUUAGGCUUUCGGGGGAUACUGCCAGACUUGGAACCGGGAGAGGUAAGAGGUACUACAGGGGUAGGAGUGAAAUCUUGUAAUCCCUGUGGGACCACCUGUGGCGAAGGCGUCUUACCAGAACGGGUUCGACGGUGAGGGACGAAAGCUGGGGGCACGAACCGGAUUAGAUACCCGGGUAGUCCCAGCCGUAAACGAUGCUCGCUAGGUGUCAGGCAUGGCGCGACCGUGUCUGGUGCCGCAGGGAAGCCGUGAAGCGAGCCACCUGGGAAGUACGGCCGCAAGGCUGAAACUUAA